CUAGCUUUUAAUUUGAAGUGAGAGAUGUAUGACUCUUCCUUUUACUUGAACACUUAUAGGCCAUUAUAGCAUUAUUAAUUGGUCUAACCUGAAUAUUGUCGUGUCUCAGGGGACAGGGAGGCCCAAGGAGAGCAGAGAGAUGGGGGAAUGGCCAGUCAGUGGCACAGUCAGAACGCACACAACAUUUAUCAGUUAAGUUCACCACCUUACAUGGGUGCAGUUCAUGGCACCUGAAUACAAUCACCAUAGUUAUAUCAAAGAUCACUAAUCAUAGAUCACCAUAACAAAUACAAUAACAACGAAAAAGGGUGAAAUAUUGUGAGAAUUACUAAAAUGCAACACAGAGACACAGAGUGAGCAAAUGCUGUUGCAAGAAUGGUGCAAUAGAAUGCCUGUCGCAGGGUUGUCACACACCUUCACUUUGCAAAAAACACAGUAUCUGUGAAGUGUAAUAGGUGAAGCACAAUAAAGUGAGUCAGACCUUUAUAUUAAUUAGCAUUGGGAGAAGGCAAAGAGGAGGAUUAAAUAUCAUAAAUGUUGGUGAAGCUUUCCUUGCCACCUUCUAACCUCCUCCUGGCACCACCUCCCUCUUGCCCAGCUUCCGCAGUUUCUUUCUGCACGCGGGCCUCCAAAACCACUGAAUGUUCCCUCCGUCUCUUUCUCUGCUCUGCUCUGCUCCAUCAUCACAUAAGUGAGCAUUUUUUUAUUGCUUCAGCGACCACUUCAGAGUGUGCUUACAGUCAUGAAUUCAGAGGAUAAUGGGAGGCAACUAGACAGGAUUAAUUGGUUCAAGCUGAUUCUAGGAGACUGAGUAUUUCUCUAAUAAUAAUAGUAAAUACUUCACAUAAUGAUCAUUUUGAUGCAAGUAUUGCGCCAAGUGCUUUGUAUAAAACAAUCAACUAUUUCUCUCAGCUUCCUAUAAGAUCGGUUCCAUUAUUGUCCCCUCUUUUGGUCAAGAAACCUGAGGCUAAGAACGGCUAACAACGGACUGCCACUGUCACUGAGAUUCAAUCUCAGUUUAGCUUUGGAAUCUGUGCUCUUUAUGAAUAAUGAUGAUGAUACUAAUGACAUCAGCAAAGUCAGAAUACUAACAGUUAGGAGCACUUAUCAGGGGCCAGGCAUGUUCUAAGUACUCUAUAGAUAUUCCUUCACUUAUUUAAGAAACAAUACUAGACUAGAAGCCAAAAAGACCAGGAUUCUACUCCAAAUCCUGGUACUGAUUAACUGCAAAACUUGGAGGAAGUCACUUCUACCAAUCUGGAUCUCAAUUUCCACAGAUAUACAUUGAAGAGCUACUAGUCAACAUGUUCCAUAAGCCUGUCUAUCUGAAGAGAACGAUAAGGAUUACAACCUUUAGCUGGAAAACACCAUGACUAUGUUCCAACCUGAAGUACUAAAGAAUCUGCACAGCACAACAGCCUAGGAAAUUUAGCUAUUGGACAGCUUGAUUGCUCCCUCACACCCCGCUUAAUAGAGCUUCUCAUUAAGUCACAAAAAUGAGAUCAUUCAGCAAAAGUCCUUCAGUAUGGCCCGUCCACUCAUGCUAAUGUGGUGUUGAAACAGAAGUCCGUGGGUUUGAGAGCGAAUAAAAGAUCUCAGCAGGGCAUGGAA